CCUACGGGAGGCAGCAGUAGGGAAUAUUGCUCAAUGGGGGAAACCCUGAAGCAGCCACGCCGCGUGGAGGAUGAAGGUUUUCGGAUUGUAAACUCCUUUUGUUAGAGAAGAUAAUGACGGUCUCUAACGAAUAAGCACCGGCUAACUCCGUGCCAGCAGCCGCGGUACUACGGCGGGUGCAAGCGUUACUCGGAAUCACUGGGCGUAAAGAGCGCGUAGGCGGGAUAGCAAGUCAGAUGUGAAAUCCUAUGGCUUAACCAUAGAACUGCAUUUGAAACUGGUAUUCUAGAGUAUGGGAGAGGUAGGUGGAAUUCGUGGUGUAGGGGUGAAAUCCGUAGAGAUCAAGAAGAAUACUGAUUGCGAAGGCGACCUGCUAGAACAUAACGGACGCUGAGGCGCGAAAGCGUGGGUAGCAAACAGGAUUAGAUACCCUAGUAGUC
rnacentral:rRNA from 1 species